rnacentral:rRNA from 1 species
UACGAACUGUGCGACCGUUAUUCGGAAUCACUGGGCUUACAGGGUGCGUAGGCGGCUCAACCAGUCAGGUGUGAAAGCCCCCGGCUCAACCGGGGAACUGCGCUUGAAACUGUUAGGCUCGAGUCAGCUAGAGGUACACGGAACUUCCAGUGGAGCGGUGAAAUGUGUUGAUAUUGGAAGGAACACCGGAGGCGAAAGCGGUGUACUGGGGCUGGUCUGACGCUGAGGCACGAAAGCCAGGGGAGCGAACGGG